UGUCGACGGGUAGAGACACGGCGUGCGUGAAGGUGCUGCGAGACAUCGAGCGGGAGAGGAGAUCAACUGCUACCUACGGAAGAAGAGACUUCUUCCCGGAGACAACAACUGCAAACUGCGAGAGUGCCAGCACGAUAGUGAGAGGAGGCAUGCGGGCGCGUUUAAACCUCGCGACGGCAACCAGAACCUGUUGAACCCCGUCUAUCAGCUACGCGACACAGACAAGCGACUCUCCCGGCUCAAGCAGCGAAGCGAUUCGAACGUGUCGUCGCGAGAGAGCUCUCCGCACGCGGGAGGCGACGCCACCUCUGCCGCCGACAGCGGCAAUAAACAGAAGAACAGCAGGUACUGCACAAAGGACCUGAAGCGACGUGCGAUCACGUUCUACGACUCUGAUCUCGACCGCGCCCCGAGCCCGAAGCUUGCACGACGAUGCGCUGCUGCCACGGCGACAGAGAAGCGGUUGCCCGGCGACGCGCAACAGCAUCAGGAGGAGGAGCUAGAGACGGACGUUCUCGUGCAGCUGCGGCAGCGCGCUCUGGGGGACGACGACGGCGGCGGCAGG